rnacentral:rRNA from 1 species
AUGAGUACUCUAUGUUGGAACUGUCGAGGCUUGGGGUCGGACUCGACAGUUGGCGAGCUUCGCUGGUUGGUGGAGCUUCACCGCCCCUCCCUCCUCUUUCUUUUAGAGACAAAGAUGAGGGAUACUUGUGUUAGAAACUUUAUGUGGUCUUUGGGCUAUGUUGGAUGCCUUGUUGUUAGCUUUGUUGGACAAAGUGGUGGUCUGACUUUGUUUUGGUCAGUGUUUGUGGAUGUUUCUCUAAAGGCUUCUAGUGCUCGAUGCAUUGAUGUGCAUGUCACACCUAAGGAUGGUUCCACCUAG